AUUUGAUCGUUCGUACGUAAAACGUUUAAUAUCAUGGUUGUUCCUUGUGAGUGGUUUGGUGUCAUCGAAAGCGGUCCAACUAGAAGACAUCCAGAGUGGCUCGGUGCCCAAUGCAACUACACAUAGGACAUGUUAUGCCUGCUCGGGACCCGUAAGCCUUUGCGAGAACCUUUACCACCCCGUUACAUGCACUGUGGACAAGCAAUUUUGCAUAAAUGAGCUGAAAAACAACGCAGUUGCAUCGAGAACAGUAGUUAGAAGAUGUGGUACUGAACAGGAAUGUCAUGACGGCUGGUUCGUUAAGUACUCAUCGAACGACAGGUGUCUUAACUUCGACGAACGUUUCUUAUACACGAGCAGUUUCACCUGCGAGUUUUGUUGUACAUCCGAUAACUGCAACAUAAACGUCAAUCCUACGGACCUAUUCGAUCUCACACUGGGCUAAGACAUGUUUACUGCAUUGCUCGUUUUUUCAUGUCAUCAAAGAAAUUGUAUUGGUUUUUAUGUUACCCGAUGAACUCUUAA